GAUGAACGCUGGCGGCGUGCCUAAUCCAUGCAAGUCGAGCGAACAGAUAAGGAGCUUGCUCCUUUGACGUUAGCGGCGGACGGGUGAGUAACACGUGGGUAACCUACCUAUAAGACUGGGAUAACUUCGGGAAACCGGAGCUAAUACCGGAUAACAUUUGGAACCGCAUGGUUCUAAAGUGAAAGAUGGUUUUGCUAUCACUUAUAGAUGGACCCACGCCGUAUUAGCUAGUUGGUAAGGUAACGGCUUACCAAGGCGACGAUACGUAGCCGACCUGAGAGGGUGAUCGGCCACACUGGAACUGAGACACGGUCCAGACUCCUACGGGAGGCAGCAGUAGGGAAUCUUCCGCAAUAGGCGAAAGCCUGACGGAGCAACGCCGCGUGAGUGAUGAAGGGUUUCGGCUCGUAAAACUCUGUUAUUAGGGAAGAACAAAUGUGUAAGUAACUGUGCACGUCUUGACGGUACCUAAUCAGAAAGCCACGGCUAACUACGUG
rnacentral:rRNA from 1 species